rnacentral:rRNA from 1 species
GACGAACGCUGGCGGCGUGCCUAAUACAUGCAAGUCGAACGCACAGUUUAUACCGUAGCUUGCUACACCAUAGACUGUGAGUUGCGAACGGGUGAGUAACGCGUAGGUAACCUGCCUGGUAGCGGGGGAUAACUAUUGUAAACGAUAGCUAAUACCUCAUAAUAUUGAUUAUUGCAUGAUAAUUAAUUGAAAGGUUCAAUUGCACCACUACCAGAUGGACCUGCGUUGUAUUAGCUAGUAGGUGAGGUAACGGCUCACCUAGGCGAAGAUAGAUAGGCGAACUGAGAGGGUGGUCGGCCACACUGGGAAUGGGAAACGGGCCAGAACUCUAAGGGAGGCAGCAGGAGGGGAUCUUUGGGAAUGGACGAAAGUCUGAACGAGCAACGCCGCGGGAGGGAAGAAGGUUUUCGGAUCGUAAAGAUCUGUUGUAAGAGAAGAACGGGUGUGAGAGUGGAAAGUUCACACUGUGACGGUAUCUUACCAGAAAGGGACGGCUAACUACGUG